rnacentral:rRNA from 1 species
GUGUCAUAAUACUUACGAAUCGCAUGGCCUUGUGCCGGCGAUGGUUCAUUCAAAUUUCUGGCCCUAUCAACUUUCGAUUGGUUAGGUCUUAGGCUAACAUGGUUUCAACGGGUAACGGGGAAUUAGGGUUCUAUUCCGGAGAGUGAGCCUGAGAAACGGCUAACACAUCCAAGGAAGGCAGCAGGCGCGCAAAUUACCCAAUCCCGACACGGGGAGGUAGUGACAAUAAAUACUGAUCCAGGGCUCUUUUGGGUCUUGGAAUUGGAAUGAGUACAAUUUAAAUCCCUUAACGAGGAACCAAUUGGAGGGCAAGUCUGGUGCCAGCAGCCGCGGUAAUUCCAGCUCCAAUAGCGUAUAUUAAAGUUGUUGCAGUUAAAAAGCUCGUAGUUGAACCUUGGGGCCUGGCUGGCCGGUCCGCCCUCACCGCGUGUACUGGUCCGGCCGGGCCUUUCCUUCUGGGGAAUCGCAUGCCCUUCACUGGGUGUGUCGAGGAUCCAGGACUUUUACUUUGAAAAAAUUAGAGUGUUCAAAGCAGGCCUAUGCUCGAAUACAUUAGCAUGGAAUAAUAGAAUAGG